rnacentral:rRNA from 1 species
AUUGAACGCUGGCGGCAUGCCUUACACAUGCAAGUCGAACGGCAGCAUGAUCUAGCUUGCUCGAUUGAUGGCGAGUGGCGAACGGGUGAGUAAUACAUCGGAACGUGCCCUGUAGUGGGGGAUAACUAGUCGAAAGAUUAGCUAAUACCGCAUACGACCUGAGGGUGAAAGUGGGGGACCGCAAGGCCUCAUGCUAUAGGAGCGGCCGAUGUCUGAUUAGCUAGUUGGUGAGGUAAAGGCUCACCAAGGCGACGAUCAGUAGCUGGUCUGAGAGGACGAUCAGCCACACUGGGACUGAGACACGGCCCAGACUCCUACGGGAGGCAGCAGUGGGGAAUUUUGGACAAUGGGCGAAAGCCUGAUCCAGCAAUGCCGCGUGUGUGAAGAAGGCCUUCGGGUUGUAAAGCACUUUUGUCCGGAAAGAAAUGGCUCUGGUUAAUACCUGGGGUCGAUGACGGUACCGGAAGAAUAAGGACCGGCUAACUACGU